rnacentral:rRNA from 1 species
ACGACUCUCGGCAACGGAUAUCUCGGCUCUCGCAUCGAUGAAGAACGUAGCGAAAUGCGAUACCUGGUGUGAAUUGCAGAAUCCCGCGAACCAUCGAGUCUUUGAACGCAAGUUGCGCCCGAGGCCACUCGGCCAAGGGCACGCCUGCCUGGGCGUCACGC